UACGUAGGGUGCUAGCGUUGUUCGGAAUCAUUGGGCGGAAAGCGCGUGUAGGUGGCUGUGUAAGUCGGAUGUGAAAUCCCUGGGCUCAACCGAGGAAGUGCAUCCGAAACUACAUAGCUCGAGGACGGUAGAGGAAGGUGGAAUUCCAAGUGUAGAGGUGAAAUUCGUAGAUAUUUGGAGGAAUACCGGCGGCGAAGGCGGCCUUCUGGGCCGUUCCUGACACUGAGACGCGAAAGCGUGGGGAGCAAACAGG
rnacentral:rRNA from 1 species